AUGGUGGUAGCCUCAAGAAUACAUGCUUGCAUUUUGAUGGUUGUUGCAUUCACGGAGUAUGCAUUUCAACCUGUGAUGUGGCAUUCCAUAUUGCCGAUGCUCAUAUGUGGGGAUUUAGGGAUGCAUGUGUGGAGCAUCACGUACAGAAGGGACAGGCAUUUCUCUCAAACAUGCUCUGCUUCUCGAAAGAUCUCAGUCGGUUUGAAGGCAUCUUCUCAUGGAGACUUUAGUUCUCCUCAGUUCAGUCACAUUCCGAAUGGGGGGCUGAAGGAAACAGAUGCCCAGAAUCCAGAAAGUAGGCAAUGUGAAUCACCUUUGGUGCUUGACAGAAGCAAAAGGAUGCGAGGGAACACUGAAAAUGCUUCAGCAGGCAACAGCGUUGUCCAACAUCAUCCUUCUACAAAUGCGCCGAGAUCAAAAUCAAGAUCAAUAGCAUGGAAUCACUUCAAGAGGGAGGAUGGAGCGUGGGCGAUUUGCAAGUACUGCAAAAAGGAGUACGCAGCUGACCCAAAACAACAUGGGACUUCUCGUCUGUUGAGGCAUCUUAAAAAUGACCAUGGAAUUGACCCCAAAGCCUCAUCUUCAGCAAGUGGGAAGUGA
rnacentral:rRNA from 1 species